rnacentral:lncRNA from 1 species
AAGAACUUGCUGCUGACAGGUGGAAAGAAUCAAAUAAUUAGAGUCUGGAAUGCUUAUCUGCCUAAACCAACAGGUAGGCUGAGAAGCUGCAUGGCUCCAGUGAUCCACAUCCACAUAUCUGCUAAGGACAACAAAAUAUUUUCCAUGUCCACCAACAAUACGAUUAAGGUCUUCCCUCUUCUGUAUUUUGAUGCAUCCUCCAAGACAGGUUCAGAGAGGGAAGGUCUCAAAAGCCGGUGGGCUAAAGGUGAGCUCACAGCCUGCCUCUAACUCCCUGGCCCCCGAGCUGUGUGUGUGGGCACUGACACUGUUGCACUCCUGUGCCUGAGAGAGCCUCACCUGACACUUUCCCACCAAGAGCUCAUGGUGUGCUACAGGUACAACCCAGCCUUCAGGCACAUGGUCAGCUUCGCCCAAGCGUCUGUAAUGAAAAACAAAGUGAAGUCUGUGAUUGUACCUACUUGGAGGUGAACCAAACUAGGUGUAUCAUAGUUGUUGGGUGAGACAGAAGAAUAGUUGUGUAAGGACAUGCCACAUGACUUUCGUCACUUCUGGAAACCACAGCCAUGCUGGCAGGAUGACUGAACCAUAGGCACAAGGAGGACAACCUCUGUGUCCUCUCCAGUUACAACGGGGAGAUUAUUAUUUGAAAAGUCAUCUCAGGCCACAUAUCAUACAAGCUGAACACUUCCAGCCCCUCUGAUGGCCCAGCAGGCUCUCUUACCUUCUGGAGGCUAUUCUAUGAAGUGGGCCUCAUUGCAAACUUCGUGAAAGCCCCAGUCAGCAGCAUCUCGGUGACAGCAGGAGAUGCCCUUUCCUACCUGGCUAACCAGCAAGGCUUUGUGCAUGUCUAUGACAUCCAGGAGUAUGGUCUGCAGGGACAGGAGCUCCAGCCUGAAGGGCACAUGUCAGCAUGGUGACUAGUUUGGAGCUGAUAGAAGAAAAGUUUCUGCUGUCAUCCUCCCUUGACUGCACUGGGACCUUUGGGCAGAGCAGCCCCUGGGAUAUUUUCACUCCUGCCUCCUAGAGCCACCUGAGAGUCCCCUAUGAAGUUUUGACAGAUCCCCAGAGCAUGCCAGCUC